UUGGAAGUAAAAGUCGUAACAAGGUCUCCGUUGGUGAACCAGCGGAGGGAUCAUUACCGAGUUAUACAACUCCCAAACCCACUGUGAACCUUACCUCAGUUGCCUCGGCGGGACCGCCCCGGCCGCCGCGCAAGCGGCGCCGGACUCCAAGGCGCCCGCCGCAGGGACCCAAAACUCUUUUGCAUUACGCCCAACGGCGGGAAUUUUUUCUCUGAGUGCAUAAGCAAAACAAAUGAAUCAAAACUUUCAACAACGGAUCUCUUGGUUCUGGCAUCGAUGAAGAACGCAGCGAAAUGCGAUAAGUAAUGUGAAUUGCAGAAUUCAGUGAAUCAUCGAAUCUUUGAACGCACAUUGCGCCCGCCAGCAUUCUGGCGGGCAUGCCUGUUCGAGCGUCAUUUCAACCCUCGAGCCCCCCCGGGGGCCUCGGUGUUGGGGGACGGCACACCAGCCGCCCCCGAAAUGUAGUGGCGACCUCGCCGCAGCCUCCCCUGCGUAGUAGCACACACCUCGCACCGGAGCGCGGAGACGGUCACGCCGUAAAACGCCCAACUUCUUACAGUUGGACCUCGGAUCAGGUAGGAAUACCCGCUGAACUUAAGCAUAUCAAUAAGCGGAGGAA
rnacentral:rRNA from 1 species